CAAGUCGAUCGCUGGAAACCUAGCUUGCUAGGUGGAAGGAGAGGCGAACGGGUGAGUAAUACAUAAGCAACCUGCCUACAAAGACUGGGAUAAUCUCUGGAAACGGGGACUAAAACCGGAUAGGUAAUCAGAUCACAUGAUCAGAUUAUUAAAGGUCAGAAACACUAGUAGAUGGGCUUAUGGUGCAUUAGUUAGUUGGUAAGGUAACGGCCUACCAAGACGAUGAUGCAUAGCCGGGCUGAGAGGCUGAACGGCCACAUUGGGACUGAGACACGGCCCAGGCUCCUACGGGAGGCAGCAGUAGGGAAUUUUCGGCAAUGGGGGCAACCCUGACCGAGCAACGCCGCGUGAGUGAUGAAAGUCUUCGGAUUGUAAAGCUCUGUUAUAAGGGAAGAACGUCCUUGAUAGAAUCGAGGAGUGACGGUACCUUAUCAGAAAGCUACGGCUAACUACGUGCCAGCAGCCGCGGUAAUACGUAGGUAGCGAGCGUUAUCCGGAAUUAUUGGGCGUAAAGGGUGCGUAGGCGGCUUGUUAAGUUUAAGGUGAAAGCGUGGGGCUCAACCCCAUAAAGCCUUAGAUACUGGCAAGCUAGAGUACUGGAGAGGGUAGUGGAAUCCAUGUGUAGCGGUAAAAUGCGUAGAUAUAUGGAGGAACACCGGUGGCGAAGGCGGCUACCUAGACAGAGACUGACGCUGAUGCACGAAAGCGUGGGGAGCAAAUAGGAUUAGAUACCCUAGUAGUCCACGCUGUAAACGAUGAAUACUAGGUAUCGGGGCAACUCGGUGCCGCAGUUAACACGAUAAGUAUUCCGCCUGUGGAGUAUGCACGCAAGUGUGAAACAUAAAGGAAUUGACGGGGGCCCGCACAAGCGGUGGAGUAUGUGGUUUAAUUCGACGCAACGCGAAGAACCUUACCAGGCCUUGACAUCCCUCGCAAAACUAUGGAGACAUAGCAGAGGUUAUCGAGGAGACAGGUGGUGCAUGGUUGUCGUCAGCUCGUGUCGUGAGAUGUUGGGUUAAGUCCCGCAACGAGCGCAACCCUUGUCCAUAGUAGCCAGCAGUAAGAUGGGCACUCUAUGGAGACUGCCAGGGAUAACCUGGAGGAAGGUGGGGAUGACGUCAAAUCAUCAUGCCCCUUAUGAUCUGGGCCACACACGUGCUACAAUGGGCAGAACAGAGAGACGCAAUACCGUGAGGAGGAGCAAAUCUCAAAAACUGCCCCCAGUUCGGAUUGCAGGCUGAAACCCGCCUGCAUGAAGUUGGAGUUGCUAGUAAUCGCGAAUCAGCAUGUCGCGGUGAAUACGUUCCCGGGUCUUGUACACACCGCCCGUCACACCAUGAGAGCUGGCAACACCCGAAGUCCGUAGUCUAACUUAG
rnacentral:rRNA from 1 species